rfam:Octopus bimaculoides Scaffold13991_contig_226, whole genome shotgun sequence.
GUUGGUUAUGGAGACAGGGUCCCAAGGAGUAGCGUAGGAAAACUUAUUGGUUCUGCUUGUGCUAUUGCUGGUGUGUUAACGGUUGGUUUCACUGUCCCUAUAAUCGUCAAUCAU